UACAGAGGUCCCAAGCGUUGUUCGGAUUCAUUGGGCGUAAAGGGUGCGUAGGUGGCGCCGUAAGUGGGGUGUGAAAUUUCGGAGCUUAACUCCGAAACUGCAUUCCAUACUGCGGUGCUUGAGGACUGGAGAGGAGACUGGAAUUCAUGGUGUAGCAGUGAAAUGCGUAGAGAUCAUGAGGAAGACCAGUGGCGAAGGCGGGUCCCUGGACAGUUCCUGACACUGAGGCACGAAGGCCAGGGGAGCAAACGGG
rnacentral:rRNA from 1 species